rnacentral:misc_RNA from 1 species
GAUGAAGAACGCAGCGAAAUGCGAUAAGUAAUGUGAAUUGCAGAAUUCAGUGAAUCAUCGAAUCUUUGAACGCACAUUGCGCCCGCCAGUAUUCUGGCGGGCAUGCCUGUUCGAGCGUCAUUACAACCCUCAGGCCCCCGGGCCUGGCGUUGGGGAUCGGCGGCGCCCCCCGUGGGCACACGCCGUCCCCCAAAUACAGUGGCGGUCCCGCCGCAGCUUCCAUCGCGUAGUAGCUAACACCUCGCGACUGGAGAGCGGCGCGGCCACGCCGUAAAACACCCAACUCUUCUGAAGUUGACCUCGAAUCAGGUAGGAAUACCCGCUGAACUUAAGCAUAUCAAUAAGCGGAGGA